rnacentral:rRNA from 1 species
AGUGAACGCUGGCGGUAGGCCUAACACAUGCAAGUCGAACGGCAGCACAGUAAGAGCUUGCUCUUACGGGUGGCGAGUGGCGGACGGGUGAGGAAUACAUCGGAAUCUACUUUUUCGUGGGGGAUAACGUAGGGAAACUUACGCUAAUACCGCAUACGACCUACGGGUGAAAGCAGGGGAUCUUCGGACCUUGCGCGAUUGAAUGAGCCGAUGUCGGCUUAGCUCGUUGGCGGGGUAAAGGCCCACCAAGGCGACGAUCCGUAGCUGGUCUGAGAGGAUGAUCAGCCACACUGGAACUGAGACACGGUCCAGACUCCUACGGGAGGCAGCAGUGGGGAAUAUUGGACAAUGGGCGCAAGCCUGAUCCAGCCAUACCGCGUGGGUGAAGAAGGCCUUCGGGUUGUAAAGCCCUUUUGUUGGGAAAGAAAAGCAGCAGGUUAAUACCCCGCUGUUCUGACGGUACCCAAAGAAUAAGCACCGGCUAACUUCGUG